CCUACGGGGGGCAGCAGUGGGGAAUAUUGCACAAUGGGCGCAAGCCUGAUGCAGCCAUGCCGCGUGUGUGAAGAAGGCCUUCGGGUUGUAAAGCACUUUCAGCGGGGAGGAAGGCGGUGAGGUUAAUAACCUCAUCGAUUGACGUUACCCGCAGAAGAAGCACCGGCUAACUCCGUGCCAGCAGCCGCAGUAAUACGGAGGGUGCAAGCGUUAAUCGGAAUUACUGGGCGUAAAGCGCACGCAGGCGGUCUGUCAAGUCGGAUGUGAAAUCCCCGGGCUCAACCUGGGAACUGCAUUCGAAACUGGCAGGCUAGAGUCUUGUAGAGGGGGGUAGAAUUCCAGGUGUAGCGGUGAAAUGCGUAGAGAUCUGGAGGAAUACCGGUGGCGAAGGCGGCCCCCUGGACAAAGACUGACGCUCAGGUGCGAAAGCGUGGGGAGCAAACAGGAUUAGAUACCCGGGUAGUC
rnacentral:rRNA from 1 species